CUGACUAUGGGGGAAAGUGCUGCAGUUUGGGGCUAACUGUGUGUGAGGAGCUGACCUACAAGAGUAGAUCUUUCAGUUAGGCCUCUUGUUAUCUGGAAGGGGGCUGAAUUUUAUGUGACCUAGCCAGAGGGCCAGGCCAUGGAAGAUCCUGAGAGAGACAGGCAAUCACAGGGCCAAGGAAGUGCUCAAAGGGGGUGCAAGAGGCAGAUUUCUGCAACACUUUCUCCAGGCACAGGGAGGUGCCAGUAAUGACACUCUCUCCUCAUCCCUCCUCCCCUGCCUCCAUUGGACAGUGGUUUUCUAGGUUCCUUACAGACUAAGAUGUGAAGCUCUGUGAAUGUCCCUGUGGAUGCUUCUUUGAUCCCACGCAGCUCACUAUGAAAGGAAAGUGGGUCCGGUGGUUGAGGCCCUGGACUGGGACUCAGGAAGUCUGGAUUCGGUUCCUGACUGCUACAGUCUCCCUACACGACCUUGGACAGGUCAUUACUCUUUCUCCCACCCUUGGUCUGUCUUGUCUGUGUAGUUCGUUAGCUCUUUUCAGGGCAGGAGUGGUCUCUUCCUACAUGUGUGUACAGCACCUAGUGCAACAUGGCCCUGAUCUCAAUUAGCAUCGUUAGGUGCUACUGUAAUAUAAAUGGCGGCUACUACUAAUCAUCAUUGUGAGUGCUUGUGACAGGCAGUGGAAGUCUCUAGGGAUUGGGAAUGACACAUAGAAGCUUUCCACACCAAUUCCAUGAUGCUUGUUUAACCUUUGUAAAAUGAGGUGGUGGGUUUCAUUCCACCAUUUGUUCAAUGUAGUCUUGCACCCAUGCCCUGAGCCCCCUCCUGCACACCAACCCCCUUCCCUGAGCUCCCUCAUAAACCCUGCACCUCUCCUCUGCCCCAAUCCCUUGCCCUGAGCCCCUUCCUGCACAC